AUGCCUUAAACUUAUAAAUAAAGAAAAUAACAAUUUGGGGUGACACCCGCAUUGUCACUGCUAAGGUGAGAUGAAUUUUUGAGCGGGUAAAGGCUGUCCCUAAGGUGACCCACCUACUUUGUGGGAUACCUGAGAGUCACAAUCUGCUCA
rnacentral:snRNA from 1 species